rnacentral:rRNA from 1 species
CACACCGCCCGCCACACCAUGGGAGUUUGUUGCACCAGAAGCAGGUAGCCUAACCGCAAGGGGGGCGCUUGCCACGGUGUGGCCGAUGACUGGGGUG